rnacentral:rRNA from 1 species
GGAUGCUAUCAUACCAGCACUAAAGCACCGGAUCCCAUCAGAACUCCGAAGUUAAGCGUGCUUGGGCGAGAGUAGUACUAGGAUGGGUGACCUCUUGGGAAGUCCUCGUGUUGCAUUCC